GGAAAUUCCCGCCUGAUGUCCCCAGCCCAUGGAGCUGUGUGAGCAGUGGGGAUGGUGGCAGAGGAAGGCACAUACUGCUGGAGCACUGAGGAUCAGAGGUACCAUCCAGCAAAGUGAAUGGAAGGACUCCCACUGAAUUGCUGAGAAUUUGAAUCAGGCCAGAAGCCAGCUUGUUUAGAACCUGGAGUCAAUGCCUGGAGUCAAUGGGAAUUUCAGCAGUGACCUCAGUGAAAG
rnacentral:lncRNA from 1 species